AUUGAACGCUCGCGGGAUGCUUUACACAUGCAAGUCGAACGGCAGCGCGGACUUCGGUCUGGCGGCGAGUGGCGAACGGGUGAGUAACGUAUCGGAACGUGCCCAGUAGCGGGGGAUAACUACGCGAAAGCGUAGCUAAUACCGCAUACGCCCUACGGGGGAAAGCAGGGGGUCGUAAGACCUUGCACUAUUGGAGCGGCCGAUAUCGGAUUAGCUAGUUGGUGAGGUAACGGCUCACCAAGGCGACGAUCCGUAGCUGGUUUGAGAGGACGACCAGCCACACUGGGACUGAGACACGGCCCAGACUCCUACGGGAGGCAGCAGUGGGGAAUUUUGGACAAUGGGGGCAACCCUGAUCCAGCCAUCCCGCGUGUGCGAUGAAGGCCUUCGGGUUGUAAAGCACUUUUGGCAGGAAAGAAACGUCGCGGGCUAAUACCCCGUGGAACUGACGGUACCUGCAGAAUAAGCACCGGCUAACUACGUG
rnacentral:rRNA from 1 species